rnacentral:misc_RNA from 1 species
AAUGGUGAACCAUUUUGUUCAGGAGUUCAAGAGAAAGAACAAGAAGGACAUCAGUGGCAACCCCAGAGCUCUCAGGAGGCUGAGGACGUCCUGUGAACGUGCUAAGAGAACUCUCUCGUCAACUGCUCAGACCACUAUUGAGAUUGAUUCGUUGUAUGAGGGUAUUGACUUCUACUCCACCAUCACUCGUGCCAGGUUCGAGGAACUUAACAUGGAUUUAUUCAGAAAAUGUAUGGAACCAGUUGAGAAGUGUUUGAGAGAUGCCAAGAUGGACAAGAGCUCUGUACAUGAUGUUGUGCUUGUUGGUGGCUCAACGAGAAUUCCCAAGGUCCAGCAGCUUCUGCAGGACUUCUUUAAUGGCAAGGAGCUUUGCAAGAGCAUCAACCCUGAUGAAGCAGUUGCUUAUGGUGCUGCUGUGCAAGCUGCAAUUUUGAGCGGUGAAGGCAACGAGAAGGUUCAAGAUUUGUUGCUGUUGGAUGUUACUCCUUUGUCGCUCGGUUUAGAAACUGCCGGAGGUGUAAUGACUGUGUUGAUCCCAAGAAAUACAACCAUUCCAACCAAGAAAGAGCAAGUUUUCUCUACAUACUCGGACAACCAACCCGGUGUCCUGAUCCAGGUGUACGAGGGAGAAAGAGCGAGGACCAAGGACAACAACUUGUUAGGCAAGUUUGAGCUCUCUGGCAUCCCACCUGCACCAAGGGGCGUUCCUCAAAUCAAUGUCUGCUUCGACAUUGAUGCCAAUGGCAUACUGAAUGUGUCCGCAGAGGACAAAACUACUGGACAGAAGAACAAGA